rnacentral:rRNA from 1 species
UACAGAGGUCCCGAGCGUUGUUCGGAUUCACUGGGCGUAAAGGGUGCGUAGGUGGCUUUGCAAGUCUGAUGUGAAAUCUCCGGGCUUAACCCGGAAAUGGCAUUAGAAACUGUGAGGCUUGAGGCUUGGAGGGGGAACUGGAAUUCUCGGUGUAGCAGUGAAAUGCGUAGAGAUCGAGAGGAACACCAGUGGCGAAGGCGGGUCUCUGGACAGUUCCUGACGCUGAGGCACGAAGGCCAGGGGAGCAAACGGG